rnacentral:tRNA from 1 species
CGCGGGGUGGAGCAGCCUGGUAGCUCGUUGGGCUCAUAACCCAAAGGUCGGCGGUUCGAAUCCGCCCCCCGCUACCA